UACGGGGGGGGCAAGCGUUGUUCGGAAUUACUGGGCGUAAAGGGCUCGUAGGCGGCCAACUAAGUCAGACGUGAAAUCCCUCGGCUUAACCGGGGAACUGCGUCUGAUACUGGAUGGCUUGAGUUCGGGAGAGGGAUGCGGAAUUCCAGGUGUAGCGGUGAAAUGCGUAGAUAUUGGGAAGAACACCAGCGGCGAAAGCGCGCGACUGGGCCAUUACUGACACUCAUGGACGAAAGCUAGGGGAGCGAAAGGG
rnacentral:rRNA from 1 species